rnacentral:pre_miRNA from 1 species
AAAGUUGAGUCGAUAAUGCGAUCAUCUUGUAUAAUGAUCGUGCAAUGGACUCAAUUUCGA